rnacentral:lncRNA from 1 species
UCCUCUCAGACCCCCCAGUCCUCUCCAACCGAAAGCCCUAAUUCAUCAGCCACCCUCUUUUUCUCCAGUAAAACUCGCCGGCAGCGAAGACGAUAACUACGCCGAUGACCACCUAAAAUACGCCGGUGACUCUCCUCGAUCUCCUCUUACUAACCAUGCAACCGGUUUCCCUCGAAUCAAACCCACCGGCUCGUAUCUUCAUUUUGAAAAUUUCGGCCAAGAUGCGGUCACACCAACGGCCGCCAAAAUCACACCCUGACAUCGUCUUUGCCUUCUCAUGCCAAAUCUACCUUUCUUUUCUUUCGAAUCAACCUCAAAGGCAUCGAAUCUUGAUUCGAAGUAGUGGAGCCGCCUCUUUUUCAGAUGAAUUCCAUGCCUGAAUCUCCUGAAUCUCAGUACAACUUGGGGAUCUUUGGAUUUAGAGUUCGUUCGGGCCGGCCUAUUUUGGGAAAUUUUUCAAGGUCGAGUGCUUUCUAUAGUAAGUAUUCUAUAACUCUACGAUUUUAUUAGUUAAUUCCUCUUUUGCUUCUCUUUCAUUCCAUCUGUCUUAAUCAGUGAGGCUUCUUUGCAUUUUUUAGUUUGAUUCAUGUGUACUUUAAUUUCCGGAUAUUCUAAUUGGUAGUUUAAUUUCAAUAGAGUUAUUCUUGUUUAUUGUUACUUAAUUUUGAGUCAAAAUAAUUAAUAAUACAUAAUUAUCAAAUUGAAAAUACUGGUGUUAAUUUUAUAAAUAUAAUUACAAUUAAAUAUUUAAAGAGGCUAAUAUUGCAAUUAUAUGCAAUUUAGUUUUAUAAAUACCAAAUGAAUUAGUAAAAAUAUGCAGAAACCAUGUUAGCUAUGUUUUGAUGUAAAUAUGAGAAUAAAAUAAAUUGUUCACCAAAAUAAUAAUUUUGGGAAUAGUUAUUGGAUUUUAUGAUAUAAAAAUAGGCAAUAAAUUGGUAUAAAAUUAUUAAAAAUAUCCAAACUCAUGGGUGUGCUUAUAUAUAUAUGCACAAAUAUGCAAUUUUAGAAGUAUUUUGGGUACAAAAAUACAUAAAAAAAAUUGGGUAUCAACAGGGUGUUGACGAAAAAUGAAGGAGAUGAGUUUAGGACCACAUACCUAUGAUUUGGUGUUGAUUUUGCUCUUCAAAAACCGCCUAGGUUCUGAUUUUGGGGAAGAAGAUUUGAAAAUAUGGCUAAAUUUACGUUUUGGUUAUGUUUUAAAUUGCUGGACAAACUUUCUUAGCGUUCGUGAAGCUUUGGCUAGAAGAGCCUUUGCGUUCACGAGUUACUAUAUGCAUUCGUGAAAGUUCACCCCCCNNNNNNNNNNNNNNNNNNNNNNNNNNNNNNNNNNNNNNNNNNNNNNNNNNNNNNNNNNNNNNNNNNNNNNNNGACCAUCGCGUUCACGUGCCAAUUGUUGCGUUCGAGUAGAGCAUUUUUCCCUUCUCCCAGUUCCCUGCCAAAUGGCCUUCGCGUUCGCAAUAGCAGGUCUAUUUCGCGAAGGGUAACACCCCCAAGGCUUCGCAAUCGCGGGAGUUCCUUCACAACCCGAAGAAGGAAUUACCUGAGCACCUGCAACAACUAUGACAACAGAAUUCCUAAGUGUAAAAACUUCCUGUGGCCUAUCCAAAGCUAACCCAAGCCCUCGGGGCUCCAAACCAAACAUGCAUAUUAAUCCAAAAAUAUCAUACGAACUUACCCGUGCGAUCAAAUCGCCAAAAUAACAUCUUUAACAAUAAAUUUAGCAUCAAAAUCGAAGAAAAAUCUCAAUAACUCUUAAGUUUCAAAUUAUAACAAUCAAGGGUCCGAUGCACACCAUAUCAAGUCUGUUUCAUACCAAAUUUUACAGGCACAACUUAGAUACCAUAUAAGACCUGCACUGGACUCUGGAACCAAAAUACGGGCCCGAUACCAUUAAAUUCAAACACAUUUAAAUUUUUAAAAGCUCUUAUAAUUUCAGUUAAAUAAUUUUCUUCAAAAAUUCAUUUCUCGGGCUUGGGACCUCAAAUUUGAUUCCAGGCAUACGUCCGAGUCCCAUAUUUUUCUACGGAUCCUCCGGGAUCAUCAAAUCAUGGGUGCAGAUACGUUUAUAAAAAAUGUUGACCGAAGUCAACUUAAAUUCAAUUUUUAAAGUCCAAUUUAGAAUUUUUAUCAAGUUUUCACAUAAAAGCUUUUUGGAUUUAUGCCCGUAUCGUGCACGAAAAUUGAGGUGAGAUAAAAAGGAGGUUUCUGAGGCCACAAAACAUAGAAUUUACUUUUAAGAAUGUCACACCUCCUUUUGACACACUACCCCGAAUGAUAAUGUAUAAGGGAGUUUUUCCAUUUAAAGUGACAUUAUUCAGACCGAGAUUAUUUAUUCAGAGUCGCCACUAGGGACAAUGCUGGUUUUCUGUGUCCCAAGUCACCGAUUGUUCUUGAAUCCCGAACUGAGGAAAAUUUCGACUUCCGGUUGGAGUCUGCGAACCAGAAAUUCUGAAUAAGGAAUUCUGUUGACCCGAGGGAAGGUAUUAGGCACCCUCGGAUCCUGUGGUUCUAGCAAAGGUCGCUUAAAUUGCUAUGAAUGACAACAUGAAGAGCCUAUGUGCCAAUAUUAUGUUUAACCGUGUUUAUUUAUAAUAUAUUUAUUUGAGAAAGUGAAUAUCGUUUAAAGUGUGUUUUCAGCCUGCGCCACAUGAAAUGAACCCUCAAUCCUAGGCACACUCUAUUCAACAUUUUAGGAUUUGGAUUUGGGCCGCAUAAAAUGCCCACCCGUAUUUUGGAAUGUAAUUUAUUAAAGUCGCAUCCAAUAGAGUCUAAAUCGUUGUAAUCUUUUGGGAGGGCCGUCUCAUUCACUAAACAGCCAUUCCCGAUUAUCUAAACAUUUUUAAUUCUUUAUUGAGGGCCCCGCAAUUUGUAUUUUCAUUGGGCGGGGUUCAUCUCAUUUUAUUUUAGAAGGAUAAACCUAAAAGGUAACUAUGUUUUCUAUUUUUGAUUUUUGUCUCUAAUCAUAAAAGUAAAGUCCUAAUUAAUUAUAUUUAAAAUCCGGGCAUUAAGUUCAAGUCCGGGUCCAAACAAAAGGACGUACCUUUUAGCUUGAACAUCAACAAAAUCAUUUGAAAGACGAUUUGAACGAAGGUGUUAAUUUAAAAGAAUUGUAUUCAACUAGAGCAAACUCUAGAUAUUCAUAAAUUAUUAAUUCCUAAGUUGAGAUUAAACUAUUCCUUAAGAUAAAUAAGACAAUUUACGUCAUUUUCCUGUUACGAUAUGCCCUAACCAAUGCCCUUUAUUUUGGAAUGGCAUCUUAAAAUUGGAAUUCAAUUAACGUUCUUCAUUUUUAUAUCAAACUAAAGCCAACAAUUAUGAGUAUGUUCACGGAAUUCAACAGAAUUAAUAACAGCCAAAUUCAACACUAAGUUACUAACACAUCAACUAGAAGAAACACACAAUUAAGCAAAUCAAAUAAAAUCGUUCAAAACAUCCAGCCAUGAGAUAGUUUGUGAAACGACGACCCUCAAAUCAACCCUCAAAUCAACGACGUAUCCAACCUCAAGCAAAACUUCAUGAGCAAAUCGAAACUCGAACGAUAAGCCACGACAAUGACGAAAAACUCAGACGGCAAGGGCUCAUAUAGCUUCGAGAAGUCUACAACGAGCAACAACUCGAUGCGGAACCAAUGGAAAUAGUUGUCGAAACUCAGUUAUCGAAGCUCGACUAGAAAACUCGAGACGAACAGAACUUGACUGGGUGAAAAUAGGGUAGAGGCGGGCUGUGUAGGUUUGUUUUCCUGGCUGCGUUACUAUGUUUGCUGAUCUGGUUGGAGAAAAAGGUGGAGAAGGGUCAGCUAUGGGUUUUUCUGGCGUGGUGUGGGUCGUUUGCUUGGUGAGACAGUAGUGUUAGGGUGGGGAUUCAGCUGGCUUUUUUGGUGUUUUGGCCUUUUGGGCAUGGUGAUGGAGAAUGAAGAAGAAGCUAUGUGGUCUGUUCAGUUUUGCUUCAAAUGUGGCGGGGCUUCAGCCUUUUGCGGGCUGUGUAGGUUUGUUUUCCUGGCUGCGUUACUAUGUUUGCUGAUCUGGUUGGAGAAAAAGGUGGAGAAGGGUCAGCUAUGGGUUUUUCUGGCGUGGUGUGGGUCGUUUGCUUGGUGAGACAGUAGUGUUAGGGUGGGGAUUCAGCUGGCUUUUUUGGUGUUUUGGCCUUUUGGGCAUGGUGAUGGAGAAUGAAGAAGAAGCUAUGUGGUCUGUUCAGUUUUGCUUCAAAUGUGGCGGGUCUUCAGCCUUUUGGUCCUAACUUCUAGGUCGUUCUUUUUGAUUAAGAAGAGGCCAUGGAAUUUGUCCCUUUUCUCUGAAGAUCGAGAUCAAACGUUGGGAGUUUUAUGGAGAGGACCACCUGCUUUUUGCUGGCAUGUGCAUUCAAAAGUGUGCUGCUAAUGGCUAAAAGAAAUCUUUUGAAAUAAGAAGUUUGUUACUCAUUAUUCUUUUGCCGUGAGAUGGCAUGAACCAACUGAUUUUGUUGUUGUUGUUUUUUUGUCAUUUCUUUUAAAACUAAUAAAAUGCUUAGCUAAAAAAAAGUAGAAAGAUCAAUGGUAGUAGCGUUAAAGGAAAAUACAAAAAAAUGGGAUUAUUUUUGUAGUUUUUAUUUGAAUUUUAUUACAUAAAAUCAACUAAAAAAACAUAAUGGAGCUAAAAUAUAAAGAUUAAACUUAAAGAAUAUUUAUGUACUAAAAAGUGGUAAAAAUCUAAAUUGGUCAAAAAUUAGGUGUUCACAAAGACACGUGAUGAUUUUUUUGGUCAUCACAAUAAGCAACAAACAUAACCUUAGGUUGAAAGCACUCCCGAGCUUGGGCAACAGUUAGCGUCCAACACCAAUAUCCAACAUCAACUCAUAGCGAUAUAAUAGAGUAGUACAAGAAGCAACUCAAAGAUAUAAUGCUCAUCUCGUUCACAGAAAAAUAAGCAUGCUUAAAAAGUAUAACAGUAAAACUGAAAUCUUCACCAAAAUCACCAAAAUAUGAGUAAGUCAAAAAUCUGUGAGUUUCCCCCAAAACUUUCAACAAUAGAUAAGAUGCUUCAAUCUUGGAUAACAUGAGGAAGUACGUCUCUAUGCCUACAUGUCAAUGUACAUGUGAAGUUGUAAAUGUAACAAAACCGUGUAACAUGAAGGAAUGCAUCUCUAUACAUGUAUGUCAAGUAUACAUGUCAAAUGCAAUGUAUCAUAGUGAUGAACUCAUGUACUCAUGCUCUUAGAAUACUCAAUCUCACUGUCUCACACAUCCACUCGUCACACUCAGUCACUCAGCACACUCAGUCACUCAGCACUGCACCCAUAUCCCAUCGAUAAUAAUAAAGCCUAUACGGCCUAUUACGGUGUGCAACCCGAUCCACAUACAUCCAAAAGGCUUGUUACAACAUGCAAUACGAUCUACAUAUAGCCAUAAGACAUGUUGUUGCGUGCAACCCGAUCCACAUAUAACUAUAAUACCUAUUGUGGUGUGCACCGCGAUUCACAUAUCUCACUCACAAUACGCCUAUCGGGCCCCAACUUAGUCAUCAAUCUCUGCAGUCUCUCGGGCUCACAAAUUUCAUGCCAAUCAGCCAAACAAUGAUAAUAUGUCGUGACAACAAAUGAUAACAUAGACUGAGAUAUAAUAUGCAAAUGAAUGACUAUUACUGAGUAUGUAACUGCAGUUUAAGCAAAUAACUCAACAACAGAUAUGACCUCAGUGGGUUCCAACAGAAUAAGCAUAUAACAUAACAUGGUUUCUCACAUGGAUUACAUCUCAGUGAAAUCACAACUCUUCGGUAGUCUCAGCUACCAAAACAUUUCAAAACUACAAUGACAUUAUUCCUUUAUAGCCAAAAAUAUGUAAGCAACCCCCGAAGCGAGGUUCGGUCAAACCUUUUCAAAAUGCUUCCCAUAGAGUAUCAAACGGGAAAAAAUUGCUUAGGAGUGCUCAUUUUAUUUUUGUCCGAAAGCUCUCCAUCUUUUCAAGCAAAGAGAGGCAGUUGUGAGCACGUAAUUUUUGCCCUAUGUUUAAGAUACUCCUAAAAUAGUCCACAAUAAUUUUAAUUAUUUUAUGUAAUUUUAGGAGUCUCUUCUCUAUUAUAUGUUGGUUUGUUUGGCAUUUAGUUGCAAUUUGCAUAAUUAGAAAUAUAUUUAAAUCAUGAAAAAGUCUAUUUUUUUAAUAUUGCAUUCAUUGCAUUUUUAGACUUUAAUUGCAUUAUUAAAAAUACAUAAAAAUCAUAAAAAAUAAAUUAGUUGCUUUGUCUUGUUUUUACAUCUGUAGGUAUAAUUAAUUAGAUAAUUGGUUAAUUAGUAUAUUAGGUAAAAUAGAUAGAUAGUUUGAUUUUACAAUAUUGUUUUAAUUAGGGUGAUUAAAUAAAAGUGUUUUAAUUUAGAAAUUAGAAGAAACGAAGAAAGGGGCUGCUAUGUGUCUCAAUUAAGCACCCGGGCCAAUAUUUCUAGGCCCAAUUUAAACCUAUAACCCACGCCCUAGGCCAACUUGGAUACCUGGUCCGCCCAUCUGGCUUCAAGGACCAGCCCAACGACGCCAUAGCAUCCUAAAACGAUGUCGGCUUGUCUUCCAUCUCCCCAGCCCCGACUCUCGUUCUCUCAUUCUCACCGAUUCAUUCUCUCUCUCUCUCACACACACACACGCUCUCACGGUCUGAAAUUUGAACGCAAUCACAGAGGAGCUAAAAAUUGGAAAUCCAAGAAAGAAGAAGAUAGAAAUACAUAAAAGCUUCAAAAUAAAAACAGAAGAAAAUUGAGGGAGAAGAGAAUUUCAAAGGCUCUUUCUGCUGCAUUACUUCUACGACUUCUGGGUGUUCGAGUUUGAUUUUUGAUUCAGAAGUUGAAGCUGCGUUUUCUUGAUUCUGUUUCUGCUGAGCUUCAGUCUACCGAUUCAGAAUAUUUGGCUUUCUUCUCUUCUAAAUUUGAUCCUUGUGCAGUUUAGGUAUGUUCUCCGUAAAAUUAUCUCAAUUUUGUUUCGUUAUGGAAUCAAUGUUGUUGUUUAGUUUUCUGUUGCUAUUAUAUGAAUUUAUUUGUUAGAUUUAAUUUCAAACAUUGAGUAGAACAUUAAUAAAAAUUGAAAGCCGAGUGUUGGUUGAAUCUGGAUUUCAUGAGAAUUAGAGCAACUCCGUGUGUUAGUUGAUUGAAUCUGGACUUUAUGAAGUGUGAAUAAUUUUAUUCGACUAAUUGGAUGUUUUCUUUCUGGCGUCGAAAAGAAUCCUCAGUAACUGGUCAGCACCAAUGAGAAUCAAAAGAAAUAGGAUGGAAGAACAUAAGCUUGGAUUUGGCUAUUAGUGUAAAAUGGCUAUAUUGUGACAACUAGCUUGUAGGCAUGGGUAGUAUUGGAUCUGUAGUUUUAAUUCCAGUUUGAUGUUGCAUAGUAAGAAGCUGGAGUAGCUCAGUUGGUUAGAUCGUGCGGCUGUUAACCACAAGGUCGAAGGUUCGACCCCUUCCUCUAGCAAAAAUUUCCUUUUGCAGAAAUGUAAGGUAAGGCUGCCUACGAUAGACCUUUAUGGUCCGGCCAUUUCCCGGACCCCGUGCAUAGCGGGAGAUUGGUGCACUAGGCUGUCCCGCCCUUUUUUGAUGUUGCAUAGUAAACUCAUGAAGAGUGUUGACUCAAAUGUAUAGUAUUAGUAAUAGACCAUCAUGCAAUCAACAACCUAAACAAUUGCACCGAAUGUGGCCAUUUUGUAUAACAUUUGCUCUGCACUUGGUUUUCUAAAUGAUAGUUUAUGAGAGUACCACGAAUGUGGCCAUUUUGUAAAAUGUAUAGUAUUAGUAAUAGACCAUCAUGCAAUCAACAACCUAAACAAUUGCACCGAAUGUGGCCAUUUUGUAUAACAUUUGCUCUGCACUUGGUUUUCUAGAUGAUAGUCUAUGAGUGUAUCAUGACUGUUCUAAGUUUGCUUUAGUAUAAAUUUCAUUGCGCCUUGAUAAGCAAUGGACCAGGGGCAGGGAGAACAACUUUAAAAAAUUAAACAUCUUAUUCCUCAAGUACAUUUCAUAACUCUUAAACCAUCAAAUUUGAUCUCAAACGUUAGGAAAAAUGAACAACUUGUGAACAUUCGUAGUUUGCUUUAGGCGCGCUUUAUAAAAUUAUUGUGACUAUGGGUACAGUUCCGGUGGCAUAGUCAUGAUGCGUAACCCAAAAUUUGAGAGCUCGCUUGCGUGAUUCAACCUCCUCAACUUCAAAAGUAAUAAUAAAAAUAAACAUGUUGUAAAUUGGGGGUGCAUUUUACACGACAAGAUUCACGAUGUGUAUAAAACGGCCCGUUUAAAAUAUUUUACUUUGCAUACAAAUUUUACACAAAGAAGAGGGAUACCACAAGGCACGUUUUGAUAACCUGAAUGGAAGGAUCUUGGGCCAAGCCCAAGUUACUUCUAACGGACUGGAUUUGUUUCCAAGUAUAGCAGGCUGGAUAAACAGCAAAUAAAUAGUCCCAAAUUUGAACUCCACUCACUCUCAAUUUCUCGCCAAAUUUACGCUGACUCUGUCUUGCUCUGUUGCCUCCUUUUCAUCUCUUUUUGCCGCCAAGUCCCUCGUCCUGCGAAAUCAAAUAGUGUGUUUCUCUUUCUCGAUAUUUUUCUUUAUACACUUUACAAUAAUUUUUAACGGUAAGUUACAAAUCUUAAUGAUUUUUGGAUAAUACUCCCGGUUUUGUUCCCAUUCUUUAACAAAGCUUAUAGCUACUUCCUUGUGUUUUUUAAAAAUAAAUAUUCGUCUUAUGUGAUUUUUGUGUGAUAAUGGUUAUACUAAAUUGAGUUUGAGUAGUAAUGGUAAAUUUUCUGAAAAUAUUAAAUAAAUAAUUUUACACGCAACAAAAAUACCCUUUCUUAAGUGAUUUAAGUUUCAUGUAGAAUUGAAGACUCACGUAAAGCCUGAAACCCCUAUAUUUUCUUAUCUGUUGUGAAAGAAUAGGAGAAAUGGAGGGCUGUAUGGAGGAUUGUAGGAUGUUGCUAUCUCAAUUGAAGCAGCAAGAUAAAGACCUAAGGCUCAAAAGAAGGUAAACCUUUUAUUUUUAUCUUCUGACCUUAAUUUAACUCUUCGUUUUAAAUAUAAUACAAUGCUACGAGCGAAUUUUUUGGGAUGGCAAUGGUGUCUAAGCCAAUCUUGCACGCACCUCCACUAUGCCAUCGGGUACCUGCUACCUCCCACCGGUACCGGUGUUAGGUAACUCUGCCUACCAGGACUUGGACAUGUGGGAAGAAAUCACCUAGUGCUUUUGCUGCCAUUGUUAUUUGAACCUGAGACCUCAUGGUUUUCAACCCACUUCAUUGACCUAGAUUUAGAUACUGUUAGCACAUUGAUGAACUUUGCCAAUUAAUGAAUGUAACUUUCGUUUUGUCUAAUACUCCCUCUUUCUCAUUUUAUAUAAUUAUGCUUCACUUGAUUUAUAAGAGAUUAAUGGCCGUGGAAGAAAAUAUUCUAGUAAGAAUUGAAAAAUUAGUUUGAUAGACAAAACAUUAUAAAGUAUGAAUUGUUUCUUAACUACUAACCAUUGUUCAGUUUACACAAGUGGAAUAAAAUUUACUUAUAAAAAGAAGUUGAAUAAUUAAAUGAAGUCAAUGUAAGUUUGUGUAGAAAUAAGAUGGUGUCAAACAUUUUAGGACGUUCUAAAAUGGGAAGACUUAUGUAUUAAGUUAGACGGAGGGUGUAAUUUUCUUUGUAUCAGUAAUGUAUGAAGUGUUUGUGGGAAAUGGGAAUAAUCGAUUUUGAGUAUUAUGUUAGAGAUAAGCAAUUCAUUUUGCAGGUGGUUAAUGGACUUGCAUUUAUCGGAACGAGAGCGAAAAAAGAUGGAAAGACUCAAACCUCAUGGUGAUAUGUGAGAACCUUCUUUUAUCUUUAAAUUUUCUAUAUCUUUUUGUAAAAACUCUUCUUUUCCACUUCUUUGAUUAUGGCUGCCUAGUUAGUUAUAGCAUCUCUCCCUAGAAAAGGCAUGUUAGAUGUUAGUCAUUGCACUGCUUUCGUCAUUGAAUCUUGGCAAAUUGACUGCUCAAUUGAAUGCACAGAUAUUGGGAUGCAAAUUGCAAUUGUCUGUGAAUUUCAUUAUAGUUUUCUGGACUGAUACUUUGCGAAAUUUCCUUCUUCUUUUAUUAGAUUUGGCUAAGUCAGGGAAGUCGUGUUAAAGAACACUUGCUGAGUGUUGUGAUUCUUCAUUUUAUAUGUUUGCUGACCAUAAUGUAAUGAAUCACAUUUUAAUGACGGUUUAUGUAGCUAAUGAAAUUCUGAAACUUGAUAUUUGUAAAUGAGAUGAAAUAUAAUAAGUGUACAUGGUCCUUAUUGUUAGAAUAUGUAAUAAUAGAACCCUAAUCCAAUGUGUAUUAGGAGUAGCUAAUGUUAUUAGGAGUAGGAUAGGUUAUGUGUAUAUAUAUAGGGCUCAUUGUAUCAUGUUUAAUAUCANNNNNNNNNNNNNNNNNNNNNNNNNNNNNNNNNNNNNNNNNNNNNNNNNNNNNNNNNNNNNNNNNNNNNNNNNNNNNNNNNNNNNNNNNNNNNNNNNNNNNNNNNNNNNNNNNNNNNNNNNNNNNCGUGCUUUCUCACAUGGUAUCAGAGCUUUGGUGAGAUAAUUAUCGUUGUGCGUCAUUCCAACGACAUCCGGGAAGAAAUAACUCAGUCACCGUGCACUUUUCCGGUGACCUAAGUGACUAAUUGCGUCAAUGUCGCUAAUUAUUAGUGUUGUGCAAAAAUCAACACCACCACAAGGUUCCCAAGAGAGAUCCGACCAAAUCCCAGCAAACCCCACCGGAAAACUGCCCUUCACGCGCCCUCACGCGCCAUAUUUACCCAGGCAGAUCCGACUCACGCGCCCCACGCGCCGGCGCGUGAGCACUGUUCCGGUGACAUUCUGACGAAGGUCCUUCAGGGCAGUUAGAUCGCCCUCAAAUUCCGAGCCUACCAAUAUUUUUACAUUUCAAUUCCGACCACUUUGAAGUUUUUCCGGCAUCUACAGUGAUUUUUCCGGCAUCUACAGUAAUUUUCCGGCAAAAACAGUAUUUCCUUCAUCUAUUUCAGCAAGUUUUCGAAGAUGUCUUUGGGACUCGAUGCUUUCGGGUCUAGAAAUCCGGGUUCGAUGUUAAUUAGGAGUAGGAUAUAUUAUGUGUAUUUAUAUAUAGGGCUCAUUGUAUCAUGUUUAAUCUCAGUUAUAUUUUCCUCCCGUGCUUUCUCACAUGGUCCUCACCUCAUAAGCUAGCUUUUGGGGUUGAGUUAGGCCCAAGGUCCAUUCUUAUCACUUAUUAUCAGCGUCCACAAAUAUGGAUUGCAUUAUUUCGACCUUUCUGAAGGUAGGGGUAAGGUCUGUGUACACACUACCCUUUUCGGACCCCACUUGUGGGAUUACGCUGCGUUUGUUGUUGUUGUUGUUGUUGUUGUACAGCUGAGGCAAGUCCAAGGACAAAGGCACUUACAGAAAAAGCCGAUUGCUAGGAUACUUUCCAAAAAUACACAAAUAUAACCCAAGAACAACAACAACAACAACCCAGUAUAUUCCCACCACGUGGGAGUCUGGGGAGGGUAAUAUGUAGACAAGCCUUACCCCUACCCGAAAGGACAGGGAGGCUGUUUCCAAUCGACCCUCGGCGCAUAGGACAAAAGGAAAAACAGCUGUAAAACAAAACAAAAACAGANNNNNNNNNNNNNNNNNNNNNNNNNNNNNNNNNNNNNNNNNNNNNNNNNNNNNNNNNNNNNNNNNNNNNNNNNNNNNNNNNNNNNNNNNNNNNNNNNNNNNNNNNNNNNNNNNNNNNNNNNNNNNNNNNNNNNNNNNNNNNNNNNNNNNNNNNNNNNNNNNNNNNNNNNNNNNNNNNNNNNNNNNNNNNNNNNNNNNNNNNNNNNNNNNNNNNNNNNNNNNNNNNNNNNNNNNNNNNNNNNNNNNNNNNNNNNNNNNNNNNNNNNNNNNNNNNNNNNNNNNNNNNNNNNNNNNNNNNNNNNNNNNNNNNNNNNNNNNNNNNNNNNNNNNNNNNNNNNNNNNNNNNNNNNNNNNNNNNNNNNNNNNNNNNNNNNNNNNNCGAACGUGUCCGAACCACCUCAGUCUCGCUUCUCGCAUCUUCUCAUCCACUGGGGCCACCCCUACCUUCUCUCUGAUAACUUCGUUCUUAAUCCUAUAUAGUCUGGUGUGCCCGCGCUUCCCCCUAAGCAUCCUCAUCUCCGCAACCUUCAUUCUUUGAAAAAUAUCACCCAAGAAAAGAAUGCAAAUAUCAGAAUUCUACAAUCACUUAUAAUAUCAAUGAAAAGGCGUUCCCAAGAGUUCUGAUAGAAGUGAAGUGGGUUGCGUUUCAGUUUCUCUUAAAUGCUGAUUAUUCUUUCCAUUGGGAUGCACUAAAAGAGACUUGCGGAGAUGUUUCUCCAUAUUCGUAUAUAUUUUUCUUUGAAGUGCAUUUUCCAGCCAUUAACAACUUCUCGACUGAUAGGGGGCAUAUAUCAUUGAACCCUGCCAGCACAACACAAGUGACCAGCACACUAAAGCUCAGGGACAAUGCAAUAGCAGAUGGUUAACAGUCUUCGGCCCCUCUGAAAAGAACACAACAGUUACUAACCAUAAUACUUCACAGAUUAUCACCAGUAAGAUGUGAUUACUUAGUAUCGACUAUCUUCCCAUGCAAAAACUACAGAACUUUAAUGUGAUAUGCAUUGCCUCAUGCCUUUCAAGGAUCCUUAAUCCUAUAUUCUCUUGUGUUGAUUGUAGUAUGAUUUGACCCAGAAAUUAGCAGUCCCCAAGGUUGAUGGAUUAGAUGGACAUAAGUGAUGACACCCAAUCUCUUAUCCAAUCCUCUCCUAAUGCCCCUCCCCAAGGUUGAUGGAUUAGAUAGACAUAAGUGAUGACACCCAAUCUCUUAUCCAAUCCUCUCCUAAUGCCCCUCCACAUCGAACAACUGUAUAAACCGUCGUUUCUUUCUGAGUUCCAUCAGAGAGUAUCAGCACUAUAUUCAUAUUUGUGAUCAGUGACCUCCAUCUACGGAAUUUUGUAGUAAGUAAAGACCAUCCACAGGUUACGCUCCUUGUUGCUAAACUUUGAAAUCUAUUUCUCCAAGAGUGCUUGUUUAAACACAGAAAUAGAUCCAAUACGCAGGCCACACUUUGUGAUAUCGGUCUCCUUGGCUCUUUUAGUGAAAUUUGGAAGUCAUUUCAAUCUUGUUCUUCCAAUUCUAAGAAAGAAAAAUAAGGUCUCCUAGGCUCUUUUAAAGCAUUGUAUUUUUUUAUGAAAGAGGUUUCCAAUACUCUUUCCACAGCCUGAUUAAAAGUAUACAAUACCUUAUUAUGUGGGCUGCUCUUGUUUAUGUAUUUUGUUAUCUGGAUUCAUAUUGUAUUAGCAAUGGUUGCUUGUUGUUUUCCUAGUAAACGUUUUGCACUUCUAACUCAACGUCUACUCUUUGAUUCUGUGUCUGCAGGACUUUACCUGAAUCGUUGAUUAGAGAAGAUGAUGUAAGUGUUCUUUCUAAUGCUUGCUGAUGUAAUGACAUUCUGCAAGUUGAAGUAGAUAAAAAAUUUCUCAGUUUUUUUUAAAAAUCUAAAUGAUACUGCUUAUAUGUAACUUCUGAAGCAAAAGAGUUUGAGUAUUCAUGCACUCUUUAUUUUUAAAAAACUUGUUUCUUUUUGUAUUGAAUAUUGUUGAGAUACAAGUUGUCUAGCACAUGUAUAUGAGUUGUAUAGUAGGUGUAAUACAAGUUGUCUAGCACAUGUAUACACAUGUACUACAUCAUAGCUAGCACAUGUAUAUGAGUUGUAUAGUAGGUGUAAUUAGGUGUAUGUAAACUAAUAGAUUAGGUGACUAGUAUUAUAAAUAGGCCUUGUAAUCUUCUCUUCUAGAUAUGAAAUAUAGAAUUUCUUUGGUUUCUAACAUGGUAUCAGAGCAUUGAAGUUUUUUCAUCAGUUUGUUGCUGGGAAUUUUUUUUUCCGUUCGAAUUAUUUUUGUUCAGAACAGUCUUUCGCUGUUUUGAUUCUAUUUCACUAUUUUCGGCCACUUUUUGCCCCGGCCGCUUCUUUACAGAUUUUUUUACUCACUAUUCCGACCAAAGUGGUACUGUCAUAAUUUUUUUUCCGAACAUCUUUCAUUUUCCCAGAUCACUGUUCACAUCACUGUUCACAUCAGUGUUCACUGCACUGUUCUUGACUAUUUGAUUAUGCUAUUAUUCGGGUGCAAGUUGACUGAAACGAAACCUACCGUUGAUGUCAUUCCGAUUAGUCCAAAAUUACGGAGAAUAAGUUCAUGGGUUCCAAUUACAUGUAUUGGAGUAAGACAAUCCGUUUCUAUUUGCGAAGCAUCGACAAAGAGAACCAAUUGAUUGAUGAUCCACACAAGGAUGAGACUAAAUCAGUCUGGUUAAAUGAGAAUGCAAAAUUGUUUCUCCAAAUCAAGAAUUCGAUGCAUAGUGAGGUAAAUGAUCUAGUUUCUCAUUGUGAUUAUGUGAAGGAUCUAAUGGAUUAUUUAGAUUUUUUGUACUCUGGCAAAGGAAACUUGUCUCGCAUGUAUGAUGUGUGCCAGGCAUUUUACCAUCCAUCCAUGCAAGAUUGCUCUCUCACCACUUACUUCACAAAGUUUAAGAAGGUGUAUGAUGAGCUUAACGUUAUACUGUCGUUUAGUCCAGAAUGCAAGAUGGCUCUCUCACCACUUACUUCAUAGAGUUUAAGAAGGUGUAUGCUGAGCUUAAUGUUAUACUGCCGUUUAGUCCAGAUGUGAAGGUAUAACAGACUCAGCGUGAACAACUGGCGGUCAUGAGUUUCCUUUCUGGCCUUUCUCUCGAAUUUGAAGGGGCCAAAUCGCAGAUUUUAUCUGGGACUACUAUCUUUUCCUUGAAAGAGGCCUUUACAAGAGUGUUGCGUACUGAAAAGUCUGAUCCAGGUCCGACAACCAUGAUCGAUAGUGGUGCUCUGCUUUCCCGCGUCCAAAAGAAUAGGAGUCAUAUUAAUUGCAAUCGGAGUAGCGAUAGUCGAGACCUAAAGCAAGUGGAAGUUGAAUGUUUUUAUUUUCAUUAGCUCGGUCAUACCAUACGUUAUUGUGUGAAGCUUCAAAAUAAGAACAAAAGAUCUCAGUAUGCCAACAUCGCCACUUUCGAGACUAUUUCACCAUCUCAGUCAUCAUCUCAUGCUAUCAAUACUAUCCCCGAGUCAGGUAAAACCACUAAGUGUCUCCUCUUUUCGUCAUCCGAAUUGGUCAUUGAUUCUGGUGCCACAGAUCAUAUGACAUGUAACUCUAAACUCUUUUCCACUUUUCAAUCACAUACCCAAUGUUCCAAAGUUACUUUAGUCGAUGGGUCUACCUCAUAUAUUUAGGGUAUGACACUGUUAACCCAACAUCUUCUCUUUCCUUAGUUCCGUCUUAAAUUUUCCGGAUUUUUCUUUCAAUCUAAUAUCUGUGAGUAAACUUACUCGUACUCUAAAUUAUUGUGUCUCAUUUUUUCCCAAUUAUUGUCUUUUUCAGGAUCUUUCGACGAAGCAAAUUAUUGGUAAAGGUUCUGAGUCUGGGGUCUCUAUGUUCUUGAAUCACAGGUGCCGAAAUCCAUUUCUUGUUCAACUGUGUUGUCUCCCUUUGACGUACAUUGUCGAUUGGGUCAUC